AACUUAUUUUUCCUCAUACCUAUCUCACUCCCCCAUUCUUUUCCAUCAACACCUUGACCUCUUGAAUUGAUUUUAUGCCACCAUAUUCACCAUUGGUAUUGUAUCUGUACUUCCAUCACUACCCCUCUAAACCUUGGAUCUAUCUCUUUCCAUCAUUUGUUUGCCACAAACAAAGUGAUAACAAAUUUUCCUUUUAAUGCAUAUCACUCUCACUCUCCAUUUCUAUCUCUAUGUCUCAACCUCCAUCAACAUUACCUCCUCAACAUCAUGCACAUGGAUGAUGUGCAUCUCUCUCUCAUUGUUCAUUUUUGUUUGGCAAGAAUGGAGCCGGCCAAUUUGUGUUUGCAUUCAAAAUUCGGCCAGCACUAUCUCCCCUUUUCCUUCUUAUACAAGCCAUGCCUCCCACCUACCCCAAUCCAUAAAUGGGCAGCCUCCCAACCAACUCAAUCAAUGAGGAGGCUACCUCCCAACCAACUCAAUCAAUGAGGAGGCAGCCAACCCACCCCCUCUCCCUCUAUAUAAAGGGGCUUGGCAGCCCACUCCCUCCUCACUUGCUCUCAUUUCCCACUCUCCACUCCUCUCCACUCCUCUCCUUUGCCUCAUUUCUUUUCACUCCCUACUAUUUCCUCCACUCCCUCACACUCUCCUCCUCCACUUCCCCACGAAAAUGGUGCUCCCCUUGCUCCCAUGGCCGGCCAUAGCCAUGGCAAGCCACCAAGAUGAAGCUCUCCCCCUCCCUCAAACUCAUCCUCACCAUGAGAGCCUCCCUCUCCUUCUUCUCCCUAACCUUAGAUGGUUUAAUCUCCUCUUCUUCUCCCUCCAUUGCUAAGAUUGGAUCUUGAUGCAGGUGCAUGUUGGUCCAAGCAUGGAGAAGGUUGAGCUAUCCUCAGAUCUGAAGUUCUUGAGCAAAAUCCAAAUCGAGUGAUUCAAAUUUCUGCAGAUAGGGGAUGUUUGGUUUAUACUAUGGUGAUAACCGAGAGAGGCAAUUGCUAAGUUGUGAUACUCUCAUACCUUUACUAGACGCGAGCAAUUUCGGAGAAGAAGAAGAAGUGGAAUUGGACAAGGAUUUUAUUUAUAUUGUUGGGAUUCUUAUAUUGAUGGAGUUGAAGAAGUACAGGGACAAAUAAGCCAAGGCAAGCCAUCUUUUGAUCUCUGAUCCGGUGUCUAGUUGGAUGUCAUUUGUUGAUGUUCAAAGCGCCUUCAUUCUAUGUGUGUUAUUAUCUCUAUUUAUGUCAUCUAUGUGUGAUUGCAAGUGGGGUACUCCCUAGUGGUGAUGCUCCACUAUUGUCCUUGUGUUAUGGGAUGCAUGGUAACAUGGCCGUGCUAUUCCACUUGGUGAUCUUGUAUGCUCAACUUGAGCAUGUUCCAUCUCAAGAUAUUAACUUACACCACACCCAC